CCAUUAAACACACUUUAAAGAGAUAAUUAUUUAUAUUUUUAUAUAUUUUGUUAAUGUUUUUUUUUUUUUUUUUACAUAUAUAGUAUGUACAUAUGCAAAACCGUAAAAUUCUCCCUUCCAAAAUCAUUUAUAUGAGUGACUUAAAUUUUUUGAUUUUGGUAUUUUAGAGUUUGUACCGUCUAAACGAUAACUAAUACAAUAAUCGAUUUCUGACAUUAAUUCAUUUAACAUUUCAUCGUUUUCUAUUUUGGUAUACCAUAUUUCAAUUCUUAAAAAACCGAAUUUUGUACUUUGUAAUUUAUCUACCAACCUAACUCCUGUUAUUAAAUUGUAAUGUUUUAAACUACAACCUACUAUUGCAAGAACGAUGUUAUUCCAGAAUUCAUCUACUUGAGUAUAUGGAAAGUCUUUAGGUAAUAUUUUAUAUUCUACAUGACCACCAUAUUGAUUAGCUUCAUCUUCCCACAUUGGUUCAAUAUUAGAUCUAAAAAUCAUAAGAGCAUCAAUAACACGUACCGUUCCAUUUUCUAACACUCUUGACAUAUGACCUUGAGCUAAUAAAUCACUUGGUUGUGGUAACCUAUUCCAAAGUUCCCAGAACUCUUGGACACUACUAAACCGUGACAAUUCUUUUGUAUAAUCUUUAUAAUGAGCAUACUGUUUUAUUCUAUUAUCAGAUACUUGCUCCCAAAUUACCCAUGUAUAUUCCAACGGAAGUGGUUUUGCUAUAUCUAUAUUAGUUGCUUCUAAUAAUUCAUUUAAAUCUAAGGUAUGUUUGCUUGAUUUACUAAAACUUAAAUACUUCAUUUUGGUUUUAAAAAAUAUAUCGUUUUGGUUUUUUGCCUUGUUUGUUACCUUGUUUGUUGCCUUGUUUGUUACCUUGUUUUUUGCCUCGUUUUUUGCCUUGUUUUUUGCCUUGUUUGUUGCUUUGUUUUUUGCUUUGUUUUUUUGUUUUGUUUUAUUUUUUUGUUUUUUUUUUUGUUUUUUUUUUUUAUUUUAUUUUUUUGUUUUUUUUUUNNNNNNNNNNAAAUAGGUAAAUUUAUAUUAUGUUAUGCUUGCCAUUGCUUUAUUUUAUGCAGCAUUUUUUUUUUAUUUAUUUGUUAUAUAUAUAUAUAUAUAUAUAUAUGUGUGUAUAUAUGUAUAUAUCACAACUUUAGAUAUUACAAAGAAUCUUUGGAAGAUUUAAAUCAGAAGAUUCAAAGAGAAUAUAAAAAUUAUGAACGAAUACAACUAGAAAAAGAAUAUACUAAGAAAAAAAAAAAAGUAGAAAAUAUUUUAAAAAAUAUAAUAAGUGCUGCGUUUAAAAUAACAAAGGUUAGGAGAUUGGAUUAUGGUGAAAAUUAUUUUUAUGACAAUUUGUUUUAUUUAGAAAGGCUUUUUUUUAUUAAAAAAAUAAAAAAUAUAAACGAAUUUGUUCAAAACAGUAUUUUUAUAAAUAAAACAAAUAAUGCCAUUAAUAACUACCACAACUUUAAAAAAANNNNNNNNNNUUUUUAUCAGUUUUUAUAUUUAUUAAACUAUUUGGGUCUGUUUCAUUUAUGUUAUCGGUGUCAUUUUUAUUAGUAGUUAUAUUAUGACUAUUUAUUAAAGCUGAGUUAGUCCCGUCAUUUCCUCUUUUUAAUAAGCUGUAAGCAUUAGUAAGUUCAUAUUCAUUAACAAGCGUAACUAACAACACUAUUGCUAUCUUUAACAUGUACAUUUUGUUUAAAAAAAAAAAAAAAAGAGAGAAAACAAAAAAAAAAGAUAAAACAAAAAGAAAAAGGAGAAAACAGCAAGCAAGAGGAAAAUAAGGCGUUUUGUAUCGCUUAUAUAUUUUUAUAUAUAGGAAAAACUAUGAAAAUAUAUUAGCGUAACCAGUUUGUUUUAUUCUUUUAUUUUUCUCACUCUUUAAUAAAAA
ensembl:lncRNA